CGUACACUCCUGCGGGAGGCAGCAGUGGGGAAUAUUGCACAAUGGGCGCAAGCCUGAUGCAGCCAUGCCGCGUGUAUGAAGAAGGCCUUCGGGUUGUAAAGUACUUUCAACGGGGAGGAAGGCGAUAAGGUUAAUAACCUUGUCGAUUGACGUUACCCGCAGAAGAAGCACCGGCUAACUCCGUGCCAGCAGCCGCGGUAAUACGGAGGGUGCAAGCGUUAAUCGGAAUUACUGGGCGUAAAGCGCACGCAGGCGGUCUGUCAAGUCGGAUGUGAAAUCCCCGGGCUCAACCUGGGAACUGCAUUCGAAACUGGCAGGCUAGAGUCUUGUAGAGGGGGGUAGAAUUCCAGGUGUAGCGGUGAAAUGCGUAGAGAUCUGGAGGAAUACCGGUGGCGAAGGCGGCCCCCUGGACAAAGACUGACGCUCAGGUGCGAAAGCGUGGGGAGCAAACAGGAUUAGAAACCCGAGUAGUCCCAUGA
rnacentral:rRNA from 1 species